GUACCUAGCAAUGAGGACUCCCAGUACCCACUGCACUCAACACCCAUCCCUCUGCUGUUUAGCCCUGCUGAAAUACAGUACCCACUACACUGUACUCCAAAGGAGAAGAUUGGAUAUGACCCCUGGACAUACACAAAUUUUUAACUGUCCGAGGACCCCACCUCCUCCUGAGACCUUCCCUUCCCCCAUCCCC